ensembl:snoRNA U3 Small nucleolar RNA U3
AAAACUAUACUUUCAGGGAUCAUUUCUAUAGUUUGUUACUAGAGAAGAGUCUCUGAAUGUGUAAAAAUAAUGAUCUUUCUGGGUGUUAUU